GAGACAGACACUAUUACUCUCUAUACAGGUAUGAUUACACUACGGGACUGACUCUGCAACAUGUACAGCCAGAGGAAUGAGAAGCUGUGCUCCAUUUGUGUGAAUAUGUCAAGAUGCAUUCUACUGUAAAAUAAAUAAGUAAAGCUAAAAAGGCAUCUAUUGAAAACUUACAGAUGACAUCAUGAUUGGAGGUAAAACCUGGGUACUUUAUAUCUCAGGGAAUGAUAAAACAAGAGUAUGUGAGUUUGCUAUUUGCAUUCAUUAUUUUACUAAAAGUUUGGAUAUUGAACAACAAAGAGAAACUAAUGAGAAAUUAUAUUGUAAGCACAUGUAAAAAUUUCUAAGGAAUUUAUACACUCAUAGGAACACACAACACUAGAGUCAGUUAGCAAAUUUGCAGUUGACAACAGAAAUACACACAAAACCAUAAGGUUUUUACACUGGAAAUGAACAAUCUCAAAAUAGAAAUAAGAAGCAAUUCUAUUCAAAAGUGUACAAAAAAAUACUUAGAAAUAAAUUUUACAACAGAAGGUUAAUAUCUGUCUACUGGAAAGGUAAGACAGAAUGUUGAACCUAAUUAAAGAAGAUAUAAAUAAAUGGAAAGGUAGUUAAUACUCAAGCACAACCGAACUCUGCACCAUUAAGAUCACAUUUUCCUUGUUUAUUACAUCCAAAACAACCAAUUUGACAUGUAUCAUUCUGCUUCUUGAAUCAAAAGGUCUUGAGUGCUUGUCUUCCUAGCAAAACCCUCCAUCUCCAUGAGAGCAAAGACUGUUUUGCUGAUGGAGAAGGAGAUAUCAUGGGGAGGAGAACGAAGGUGCCCCAGCCAAUAGCCAGUUCUCCCCAGAAGCAGAGCUUCCUGGUCAACACAUAGAACACAGGCCUGGGUGGGCCCCUCUGUUCCCAGAUUGCUGACUCAUGAGCUGGUGAUUUGUUCUGCAGAGAGGCCAGGAUUGAACACUAGAGUUACCUGGCCAACAACAGAAGGCCCAUAGGCACUGAUUUUAUCCUCCCCUUAUUUAAUGUUGGAUUUCCUAGUAAAUCAUGCUGAGUUACAUAGGUGUAGUUACAUCUACACCUGUGAUUGAUAGUCACAUCAUACUGCAAAGAGAAAAACACAAACAGCCUGGAGAUUGCAGCUAAGGUCAAACUAUGAAGUAAAUGUAAGCUCAGUGGUACACACAUAAUAAAGGCAGGAGGCAGGAAGGAACAGAGUGUCAGGGUGUCCUUAACCUAGGAAGGGCCUUAGCCUAACUAACUCCAUUUUAAAAUAAAACUGCAGUCCCCACCAGGCACGCCUACAGAGCCCUUCAAUAUGGCCAUCAGGCAUAGCCUGAUAAAAUAAGUCGCUUUGCGCAACCCUGAUAAAACUUAGAGUGAAGUCUCAGGCAUUUGCCUUCACCCUGAUAAAGGCAAAGAAGCCAGGGCAGAAACCACCAGACCAGAUGUCCUGACCUCAGAACGAAGUCACUGAGAAACCCGGUAACAGCUGAUAGUGAUUGAAAGGGCAGGCAAAAGCCCCAAAAUUUAGCAUAAAUAAUGGAGCAAAUGUCAGCCAGCCGACACUGAUGCACACAAGACUGAUGAGCCCCUGAACUGACAUCCCAACUCUUCUCCUCUGCCUGAUCCUCUAGGUCAUCCUCACUGCUUUCAAACUCUCCAGCAGCCUCUUGACUCUGGUGAGAAAAGGAUUCUUCCUUAAGACAGUCUCCACAGCCAGCCAUCAGCUCCUCCCCAGGAGAAGCCUCCAUCAGUUCCUGACCUGGUCACUGUGGUCCAAGUGAGUGUGGAUCUGCUGGACUGAAGGCCUAAGACUUAAUUCCUACUACUUAAGCUUAGCAUGCAAAGGGAAUGUCUGUAAUAGGUCUGUCAUGAUUAAAUGUGUUUGCAGUGCUUAGAGUUAACUUAGAAUUGUUUGCUUUGAAUUGGUUAUGUCUAUUGCAGUGCCCAGAAUUAAGGAUUGUAAUUCCUUGAUUAAGAACCUAUAGAGUGAAUUGUAUUGCAUGAUUUUAGUGAAUAAAGCAUUGAAAAGGGCUUAAGUGCAUGGAAAUUCUUUAUCUCUCCCCUGGACUGCAGAUGUUGCACUUUUGCCCAUCGCCACACACAGUCAAUUGUUCAAACACCUUAGGUAUCUUACUUUCAGGACUGGGAGUGGAAAUGGCGCAGGGCUAAAGCAAGAGUCUUGGUUUUGUAAGCUCAUCCAUUAGUUUGCUGACAGAAGUCUGAAUAGGGAAUUUCCUGGGGCUUAUUGUAUUGGGGUCCACUGACACAUUAGGAUUUGGUUUUAAGGUGCUAGUCAAAUGGGAGGUCCUUUUAUGUUAUUUUCCUCUAAUACGCCUGGGCUUUUCAACGACAAAAACUUCAAUUUUACCCUAGAGAAGGUGG
rnacentral:lncRNA from 1 species